AUACUUACUUGCAGGGGAGGUACUGUGAUCACGACGGUGGCUUUGCCUGGGAGAGACCUAUCCAUUGCCCUCAGGAGGUGCUGACCCCGGCAACUUCUCCAAAUGUGGGAAACUUGACUGCACAGUUUGUGGUAGAGGGGGGCUGUGUUCGUACUCUCCCCUU
rnacentral:snRNA from 1 species